GGGCUUAGUAUAGAGAAGUGUUAAAGCAUGGGUUAAGUCCAACAUUCAUUGAUUCAUUGAACAAAUAAUUAUUGAGUGUAUUCUGUGGGGCAGGCCCAGUGCUAAGCCCCGGGGAUUGGGUGACUCAGGCUCUGUCUUAAGGGAAUUUAAAACGUAGCCCGUGAUACAAGGUAGUCCAUCUACUUGGGAGCUUGUCAGAAGCGCAGAAGCUUAGGCCUCAGUCUGGACCUAUGGAAUCAGAAUCUGAUUAUUCAUAAAUCUCCCCGGGUGAUCAUGAGCACAUUGAAGGUUGGGGAACAGGGGACUGGAUAGAACUGGGUUUGCCUCCUGGCUCCACUACUUACCAGCCAUCCCGUACCUAACCCUGGAGCCGAAGUUAUGUCAUCUUUCAAAUGGGUAGUUGUGAGGACUAAACCCAAGAGAGCGUGCAGAGCCCUCUGUACGGCGCCUGGCACAUACAGGACUAAGCAAUGGUAAAUCUUAGGCUCGUCACUGCGAAAGCUCUUCGGAAAAAUAAAGCGUCGUACAAGUGUGAGGGGCUUCUGGGCUGAUGUCACAGUUAUUCUUCUUUCUCCUCCGUUGUCUUGGCUGAGACCUUCUUGACCCUCUCACCUGCUCUAGGUCGUAGAGCUGCGGAGGAGGCCGGGGUGAUGGGGAAGUGACAGAGGCCAAGGGGCAGCCACCGAUGGUGGGAGUGAGCCUCCCAGCCUCCUACUUGCUCAUUGUCAUCUGAGCCUCAUAACAUCCCGUUUACUGUCAGGGCAGAAUUGAUUGCCUUUGUUUUUAAAGCUGAUGUUGCAGCUACUCUGACGGUCCUAUUAUCACAUGCCUUGAUGCUUUGAUAAAGAUGCCAAAGUUCUCUUCUUGGCUGUGCCCAGUCAUGUGGGCUGAAGAUAAAGUGCACCAUGUGCUUUCCUUGCCCUUGGGGUCCCUGAGGCCUCUCUGUCUGUAAGAGCACGGAUGUGUCAGAGGGGAAGGACCCUUGCCCUGGGAUCUGGUAGAUCCCCUUCCGGAGAAGCCUGGGUCCAGCGUCACGCGACUCAGAUCACCUGGGAUGAUGGCCUCUUUCUGGAAUUUUCUGAUCUGGACUAAACUCUGUUGCUUUCGUUGCCAUCGCUAUUUUAUAUUUUGGAGGCAGCACGCUACGGUGGGAAAAACUCUGCACAGGAAGAUGGGAAUCAAGAAACCUGGGUUCUAUUCCUGGCUGCUCCAGUAGCUCAUUAUGUGGUCUUGGGCCUUGGUUUACCCAUCUCUUAAGUGAGAGAAUUUGAUGAUCGAAAUAUGUAGGGUUGCAUUCAGCUCUAAAAGUUCUAUAUCGUUUUUUAUUUUUCUUUCCUGUUUACGGGUACUUCGAUCCAGAUUAAAGCUAUAGAGAAGAUGACUUUGCUGGA